GUGGGUAGAGCUCAGUGGUAGAGCACGUGCUUAGCAUGCAUGAGGUCCUGGGCUCAACCCCCUGUACCUCUA
rnacentral:tRNA from 1 species